rnacentral:lncRNA from 13 species
GUUUUCAAAGAAACUUGGGACAGAGCUAUUUAUUAAUAAGGAUACAGUUUCAAAACAGUGAAAACCAUUUGUUUUGUGUUUUCUUCAGUCUGAAAACAUGUGACACCAAAGCCUGAGGAACUGGAAGAACUCCCAAAAGUCUAAUUCACAAAUAUCCUACAGAUCUUUGGAGAAUUUUCCUUGAGACAGUGCUUCUGGAACAAAACAGCCCUUUUCCUUGCUGCCACCAUAUGAAGAAGGAUGUGUUUGGUUCCUCUUCUGCCACAGUUGUAAGUUUCCUGAGGCCUCCCCAGCCCUGCAAAACUGUGAGUUAAUUAAACCUCUUUCCUUUAUAAAUGACCCAGUCCUGGAUAUGUCUUCAUCAGUAGUGUGAGGAUGGACUAAUAUAGUUUCUUUAUCUAUGACUAUUCCAAUCUUUCUCCUAAACAUGAAUUUU